AAAGACAAAUCCAAUCCAACUCUCAAUUCAAUCCUGAUUCCAUGUCUUUCAGUGUUAAUACAAACAAAAAUCCUACAUCUUCUUUUGGAAUGAAUCAAGCUGCAGUACCUAAUCCUUCUUCUCUCAGACAAUAUACACAAAGAGUCAGGUUUGAUCAGACCAAUGGGUCUUUAUUCUGUAGAUACUGCACCUUCUUCUCUCAGACAAUAUACACAAAGAGUCAGGUUUGAUCAGACCAAUGGGUCUUUAUUCUAUAGAUACUGCAAGAAGUCUGGGCACUUAAUUGAUAAGUGUUACAAGCUUCAUGGGUAUCCACAAAACCUCAAGUUUAAAAAAGGAAGGAAAACUGCUGCUGCUCAUGU
rnacentral:lncRNA from 1 species